rnacentral:rRNA from 1 species
CCCCUGUAACUGCGAGUGAAGCGGGAAAAGCUCAAAUUUAAAAUCUGGUAGCCUUUGGUUGCCCGAGUUGUAAUCUAGAGAAGUGUUAUCCGCGUCGGACCGUGUACAAGUCUCCUGGAAUGGAGCGUCAUAGAGGGUGAGAAUCCCGUCUUUGACACGGACUACCGAGGCUUUGUGAUGCGCUCUCAAAGAGUCGAGUUGUUUGGGAAUGCAGCUCAAAAUGGGUGGUAAAUUCCAUCUAAAGCUAAAUAUUGGCGAGAGACCGAUAGCGAACAAGUACCGUGAGGGAAAGAUGAAAAGAACUUUGGAAAGAGAGUUAAACAGUACGUGAAAUUGUUGAAAGGGAAACGCUUGAAGUCAGUCGCGUCGGCUGGGGAUCAACCUUACAUUUGUGGGGUGUACUUCCCAGUUGACGGGUCAGCAUCAAUUUUGACCGUUGGAUAAAGGUCAGGGGAAUGUGGCAUCUUCGGAUGUGUUAUAGCCCUUGGUUGCAUACAACGGUUGGGAUUGAGGAACUCAGCACGCCGCAAGGCCGGGAUUUAUCCACGUACGUGCUUAGGAUGCUGGCAUAAUGGCUUUAAUCGACCCGUCUUGAAACACGGACCAAGGAGUCUAACAUGCCUGCGAGUGUUUGGGUGGAAAACCCGAGCGCGCAAUGAAAGUGAAAGUUGAGAUCCCUGUCGUGGGGAGAUCGACGCCCCGGUUCAGACCUUUUGUGACGAUGCCGCGGUAGAGCAUGUAUGUUGGGACCCGAAAGAUGGUGAACUAUGCCUGAAUAGGGUGAAGCCAGAGGAAACUCUGGUGGAGGCUCGUAGCGAUUCUGACGUGCAAAUCGAUCGUCGAAUUUGGGUAUAGGGGC